UACAGAGGUCCCAAGCGUUGUUCGGAUUCACUGGGCGUAAAGGGUGCGUAGGUGGCUACUUUAAGUUUGAUGUGGAAGCUCCGGGCUCAACCCGGAAAUGGCAUUGAAGACUAUUGAGCUAGAGGUUUGGAGGGGGGACUGGAAUGCUUGGUGUAGCAGUGAAAUGCGUAGAUAUCAAGCGGAACACCGGUGGCGAAGGCGAGUCCCUGGACAACACCUGACACUGAGGCACGAAAGCUAGGGGAGCAAACAGG
rnacentral:rRNA from 1 species